CACUGGCAAAAUCCAGUCCCUCUAAUUGAUUUUGCUUGAUUCAAUCAUAUCAGUAAAAGAUUCCUCCUCCACUUUAUGCUCAGCUGAAUGCACUUCAAGUUUUUGUGCUUGGGCUCUGCAGGACCUGGUGAAAUGGUUCCUCUUGCUACAGGUGGGAGAGUCAAAAGCAUCCCACAGUUGAGGUGGAGGAAGAUUGACAAGAUCCAGAGAAAUGGGAUAACCAAGUCAAAUCCACGAACCAAAGCCAGGAACCAGAAGCUGAAGUCAGGAGCCUUGGGUCCCAGUGCAAAUGCUUGGGACUGAAAACAGACCCCAGGAAUCAGGACCUAAAAUCUGCAAUCAGAAGUCAGGAGGAAAGGGUUCAGUUAUGAAGCAGCAGCACACUCUGAGAGUGCAAGUGGAGCAGCCCACAAUGGAUGUUCAUCCAUCCAGACAGCUUGCGGCUGAGCUGACCAACCAGACUGCCUGGGGCUGACUGUUAGGCUUCCUGACAGUGCCCCCAUCACUCCGGGGGUUUCUUGUAGGCCACCAUGCAUAAUCAAUUUGGUCUAUCUGAUCCUACAAUUGUUCCUUUGGCCCAAUUUUCAAAUACACAAAAAUGUAUUGCCUAA